AGUGAACGCUGGCGGUAGGCCUAACACAUGCAAGUCGAACGGCAGCACAGUAAGAGCUUGCUCUUACGGGUGGCGAGUGGCGGACGGGUGAGGAAUACAUCGGAAUCUACUUUUUCGUGGGGGAUAACGUAGGGAAACUUACGCUAAUACCGCAUACGACCUACGGGUGAAAGCAGGGGAUCUUCGCACCUUGCGCGAUUGAAUGAGCCGAUGUCGGAUUAGCUAGUUGGCGGGGUAAAGGCCCACCAAGGCGACGAUCCGUAGCUGGUCUGAGAGGAUGAUCAGCCACACUGGAACUGAGACACGGUCCAGACUCCUACGGGAGGCAGCAGUGGGGAAUAUUGGACAAUGGGCGCAAGCCUGAUCCAGCAAUACCGCGUGGGUGAAGAAGGCCUUCGGGUUGUAAAGCCCUUUUGUUGGGAAAGAAAAGCAGCAGGUUAAUACCCCGCUGUUCUGACGGUACCCAAAGAAUAAGCACCGGCUAACUUCGUG
rnacentral:rRNA from 1 species